AGUGAACGCUGGCGGUAGGCCUAACACAUGCAAGUCGAACGGCAGCACAGUAAGAGCUUGCUCUUACGGGUGGCGAGUGGCGGACGGGUGAGGAAUACAUCGGAAUCUACUUUUUCGUGGGGGAUAACGUAGGGAAACUUACGCUAAUACCGCAUACGACCUACGGGUGAAAGCAGGGGAUCUUCGGACCUUGCGCGAUUGAAUGAGCCGAUGUCGGAUUAGCUAGUUGGCGGGGUAAAGGCCCACCAAGGCGACGAUCCGUAGCUGGUCUGAGAGGAUGAUCAGCCACACUGGAACUGAGACACGGUCCAGACUCCUACGGGAGGCAGCAGUGGGGAAUAUUGGGCAAUGGGCGCAAGCCUGACCCAGCCAUACCGCGUGGGUGAAGAAGGCCUUCGGGUUGUAAAGCCCUUUUGUUGGGAAAGAAAAGCAGCAGGUUAAUACCCCGCUGUUCUGACGGUACCCAAAGAAUAAGCACCGGCUAACUUCGUG
rnacentral:rRNA from 1 species